rnacentral:rRNA from 1 species
AUUGAACGCUGGCGGCAGGCCUAACACAUGCAAGUCGAACGAGUGGCGGACGGGCGAGUAAUGUCUGGGAAACUGGCUGACGGAGGGGGAUAACUACUGGAAACGGUGGCUAAUACCGCAUACCAUCGGAUGUGCCGAGAUGGGAUUAGCUAGUAGGUGGGGUAAUGGCUCAUCUAGGUGACGAUCCCCAGCUGGUCUGAGAGGAUGACCAGCCACACUGGAACUGAGACACGGCCCAGACUCCUACGGGAGGCAGCAGUGGGGAAUAUUGCACAAUGGGCGAAAGCCUGAUGCAGCCAUGCCGCGUGUAUGAAGAAGGCCUUCGGGUUGUAAAGUACUGUCAGCGAGGAGGCGUUACUCGCAGAGGAAGCACCGGCUAACUCCGUGCCAGCAGCCGCGGUAAUUC